rnacentral:rRNA from 1 species
GGGUUGUGAGGUUAAGCGACUAAGCGUACACGGUGGAUGCCCUGGCAGUCAGAGGCGAUGAAGGGCGUGCUAAUCUGCGAUAAGCGCCGGUAAGGUGAUAUGAACCGUUAUAACCGGCGAUUUCCGAAUGGGGAAACCCAGUGUGAUUCGUCACACUAUCAUUAACUGAAUCCAUAGGUUAAUGAGGCGAACCGGGGGAACUGAAACAUCUAAGUACCCCGAGGAAAAGAAAUCAACCGAGAUUCCCCCAGUAGCGGCGAGCGAACGGGGAGGAGCCCAGAGCCUGAAUCAGCAUGUGUGUUAGUGGAAGCGUCUGGAAAGGCGCGCGAUACAGGGUGACAGCCCCGUACACAAAAGCGCAUGUGCUGUGAGCUCGAUGAGUAGGGCGGGACACGUGGUAUCCUGUCUGAAUAUGGGGGGACCAUCCUCCAAGGCUAAAUACUCCUGACUGACCGAUAGUGAACCAGUACCGUGAGGGAAAGGCGAAAAGAACCCCGGCGAGGGGAGUGAAAAAGAACCUGAAACCGUGUACGUACAAGCAGUGGGAGCACAGGUUUACCUGUGUGACUGCGUACCUUUUGUAUAAUGGGUCAGCGACUUAUAUUCUGUAGCAAGGUUAACCGUAUAGGGGAGCCGGAGGGAAACCGAGUCUUAAUUGGGCGUUAAGUUGCAGGGUAUAGACCCGAAACCCGGUGAUCUAGCCAUGGGCAGGUUGAAGGUUGGGUAACACUAACUGGAGGACCGAACCGAC